rnacentral:rRNA from 1 species
UACAGAGGGUGCGAGCGUUAAUCGGAAUUACUGGGCGUAAAGCGCACGUAGGUGGCGACGUAAGUCGGGUGUGAAAGCCCCGGGCUCAACCUGGGAAUUGCAUUCGAGACUGCAUUGCUGGAGUACGGAAGAGGAAGGCGGAAUUCCCGGUGUAGCGGUGAAAUGCGUAGAUAUCGGGAGGAACAUCAGUGGCGAAGGCGGUUCUCUGGGCAUUACCUGACGCUGAGGAGCGAAAGCAUGGGGAGCAAACAGG